CUGUAGCCAGAAACAACGUAAAAGCACCUCUGCAAAAACUGUACCACAUUUCUAUAUUAUGUCCGAGAAGCGUGUACCUACCCCGUAUUUCGUGUGUGAUCUGGCUUUUGAACAGAGCAAGGACACUUUUGGCUUUCUACUCACCUGAAGCAGAUCCAGUAAUCACCGCUCCUGUUUUAAACUCCAGCUUUCCAGCCAGUCUCUGCUAGAUCGUCUGUUCACCCAAGAGAUUCUCAAUUCAGCCCUGGAGAGGCGGGUAUGGCUGCAUCCUGGAGAGUCCCAAGCCGUCCUGUCUCAUGCCGAGGCGUGUCCAAAGAAAUGGAGGAUAUUAUUUAAAAAGCAGUCAUCAAUGAAGAAAAAAGAAUGUGGAUCCAAGAAAGCCAAACUUGAUGUUUUUGUGAUGCCACGUCACCAGAAAGAGGUUCACAGCAUUCUAAUGAAAAAACUGCAAAACCUGGACUCUUAUUUUAAACUGCGGCUGCAUUUUACCUUGACCUCGAUUGCUGUCUUCCAGGAACACCACCCUUUUGAGUACAUGACAAAGUACUUGAACUUGAUUAGACAGUCUUUUUGUGUGUAUUCAUUUGCCCAUACAUGAAAGUGGAUGAAAUGAUAAAAAAAACUCAAUGUUUUUAUUUAUAAACUAAACCUGUAAUUGGUCCAAUUUCCCAAUUAGGUGGGAAGUGUCCACAAUCCACAUCAUAAACUGUUCAACAGAGUUUGUCUGUGGAAUAAACACAGCAAAAUUAGUUGGAACCUCAUCUGAAAUUUACAAGUCCUCAAAUAGUCUUGAGAGAGGAAAAUUGUGUGAGGUCCGCACGUUCCCACAAGGUAAUCUAAUAAUAAUAAAAAAAGUAAAAGGAUAUCUUUAAGGAUGUACUUUAAAAUGCACUAAUGGUAAUGACACUUUUCAUUACGUAACCUUUCACACUUACCAGACAUCCUUGGAGGUUUCCCACAGUUUUCUGAAACAUGGAUUUGAGUGAUUAAAACAACACUUAAUGACAGCACAGAAUAACUGACUGUGAUUAUCCAGGACAAACGAUAAACAACAGUCCAGGAUGUAUGUGAUGUGUAGUGGUCCUGGAUCAACACUUAAUCACUUGCAGCUAAUUGUAGCAUUGCACAUAUAAGUUGCUAAUGCUAUCAACUUUGAUUAAAACACACAUUGCUAAGGUGUUUUGUCUGUAAUGUUAGUUAUGCAAAAAACGUCUACAGACUCACACAGGCUUAACAUGAACAUUUUAGUAGUAAGCUACCUUUAGGCUAGUUCAUACCACCACAAGUCUGCUAGCACAUUAGCUGGUCAUGCUAGGUAGCGUGUUUUCCAUAGGAUUAAAGUGGUUAGCCUAAUGACAGACACUCCAUCUUGUUAAGAGAUAGAACUGGACAGUGAUAUUUUAUUUUUUAUCAAUAUCACAUUUGGUAGGUCAACCCUUUCCA